rnacentral:rRNA from 1 species
GCGGCGGGCGGGGCGGGGGCACGGGGGGAGGAAUUGGCGGGGGAGCACCACAACGGGUGGAGCUUGCGGUUUAAUUGGAUUCAACGCCGGAAAUCUUACCGGGACCGACAGCAAUAUGAAGGCCAGGCUGAAGACUUUGCCGGAUUAGCUGAGAGGUGGUGCAUGGCCGUCGUCAGUUCGUACUGUGAAGCAUCCUGUUAAGUCAGGCAACGAGCGAGACCCACGCCCACAGUUGCCAGCGUACUCUCUGGAGUGACGGGUACACUGUGGGGACCGCCGCUGCUAAAGCGGAGGAAGGAAUGGGCAACGGUAGGUCAGUAUGCCCCGAAUAUCCCGGGCUACACGCGAGCUACAAUGGUUGGUACAAUGGGUAUCUACCCCGAAAGGGGACGGGAAUCUCCUAAAACCAAUCUUAGUUCGGAUUGAGGGCUGCAACUCGCCCUCAUGAAGCUGGAAUCCGUAGUAAUCGCGUUUCAACAGAACGCGGUGAAUACGUCCCUGCUCCUUGCACACACCGCCCGUA